GGCGGCGUGCUUACACAUGCAAGUCGAGCGAGAAGCCAAUGUUUGAUUCUUCGGAAGAUACUUUGGUGGAAAGCGGCGGACGGGUGAGUAACGCGUGGGCAACCUACCUUAUACAGGGGGACAACAUCGGGAAACCGGUGCUAAUACCGCAUAACACAUUGAAAUGGAAUCAUUAUGAUGUCAAAGGAGGAAUCCGGUAUAAGAUGGGCCCGCGUCCAAUUAGCUAGUUGGUGAGGUAACGGCUCACCAAGGCGACGAUUGGUAGCCGAACUGAGAGGUUGAUCGGCCACAUUGGGACUGAGACACGGCCCAGACUCCUACGGGAGGCAGCAGUGGGGAAUAUUGCACAAUGGGGGAAACCCUGAUGCAGCAACGCCGCGUGAAGGAUGAAGGUCUUCGGAUUGUAAACUUCUUUGAUUGGGGAAGAAGAAGUGACGGUACCCAAAAAACAAGCCACGGCUAACUACGUGCCAGCGGCCGCGGUAAUACGUAGGUGGCAAGCGUUGUCCGGAAUUACUGGGUGUAAAGGGCGUGUAGGCGGGGAUGCAAGUCAGGUGUGAAAGCCCAUGGCUCAACUGUGGGACUGCAUCUGAAACUGAAUCUCUUGAGUACUGGAGAGGGAAGUGGAAUUCCUAGUGUAGCGGUGAAAUGCGUAGAGAUUAGGAGGAACACCAGUGGCGAAGGCGGCUUCCUGGACAGUAACUGACGCUGAGGCGCGAAAGCGUGGGGAGCGAACAGGAUUAGAUACCCUGGUAGUCCACGCCGUAAACGAUGGAUACUAGGUGUAGGAGGUAUCGACCCCUUCUGUGCCGGAGUUAACACAUUAAGUAUCCCACCUGGGGAAUACGACCGCAAGGUUGAAACUCAAAGGAAUUGACGGGGGCCCGCACAAGCAGUGGAGUAUGUGGUUUAAUUCGAAGCAACGCGAAGAACCUUACCAGGGCUUGACAUCCCUUGACAGCUCUAGAGAUAGAGUUUCCCUUCGGGGCAAGGAGACAGGUGGUGCAUGGUUGUCGUCAGCUCGUGUCGUGAGAUGUUGGGUUAAGUCCCGUAACGAGCGCAACCCUUAUUGUUAGUUGCCAGCAAGUAAAGUUGGGCACUCUAACGAGACUGCCGGUGAUAAAUCGGAGGAAGGUGGGGAUGACGUCAAAUCAUCAUGCCCCUUAUGUCGUGGGCUACACAACGUACUACCAAUGGCUGGUACAGAGGGAGCUAACCCGAGUGGACCAAUCCCCAAACCAGUCCAGUUCGGAUGCAGCUGCAAUUCGCCUGCAUGAAGUGGGAAUUGUAGUAAUGCAGGUCAGCAUACUCCGGAUACGUUCCCGGGCUUGUACACACCGC
rnacentral:rRNA from 1 species